GGAGACCGAGUGUGAAUAGCGCGUACAGUUUGCAGUAUACGACCCGAAACCGGGUGACCUAACCAUGGACAGGUUGAAGUGGAAGUAAAAUUCCAUGGAGGACCGAACCCACGUCUGUUGAAAAAGGCGGGGAUGAGCUGUGGUUAGCGGUGAAAUUCCAAUCGAACUCGGAUAUAGCUGGUUCUCAUCGAAAUAGCUUUAGGGCUAGCCUCAGGAUAGUUUAGCGGAGGUAAAGCACUGAAUGGGCUAGGGGGCUUCACGGCUUACCGAACCCUAUCAAACUCUGAAUGCCGCAUAAAUGUUUCCUGGGAGUCAGACUGCGUGAGAUAAGUUUCGUAGUCAAAAGGGAAAGAGCCCAGACCUACAGCUAAGGUCCCUAAAUGAAUUUAAGUGGAAAAGGAUGUGCAGUUGCGUAGACAACUAGGACGUUGGCUUAGAAGCAGCCACUCAUUUAAAGAGUGCGUAAUAGCUCACUAGUCGAGUGAUUGUGCGCCGAAAAUGUAACGGGGCUAAAAUUCAUACCGAAGCUUAGGAAUGAUAGUAAUAUUGUUGGUAGAUGAGCGUUGUGUAAGUCUGCGAAGCUACACCGAAAGGAGUAGUGGAGAUAUCACAAGUGAGAAUGCCGGAAUGAGUAGCGAGAAUUAUGUGAGAAUCAUAAUGGUCGAAAAUCUAAGGUUUCUUGAGGAAGGUUCGUCCGCUCAAGGUAAGCCGGGAGCUAAGGCGAGGCCGAGAGGCGUAGUCGAUGCACAUACGGUAAAGAUUCCGUAGCCACCGAAGUCGUUAAAUACAGGGACACAGGAACAUAGCCUAACCCCACCGUUGGUUGAGUGGGGCGUAAGGGAGCGAAAAUUAGUAGCGAAGUAGGUGAUUGUACACUGGCGAGAAAAGCUGUAUGAAUUGACAAGGUGCCCGUACCGCAAACCGACACAGGUAGAUGAGGAGAGAAUCCUAAGACCAGCGGGAGAAGUGUUGUUAAGGAACUCGGCAAAAUGACCCCGUAACUUCGGGAUAAGGGGAGCCUACGCGAGUAGGCCGCAGAGAAUAGUCUCAAGCGACUGUUUAGCAAAAACACAGGUCUAUGCUAAAUCGAAAGAUGAUGUAUAUGGGCUGACGCCUGCCCGGUGCUGGAAGGUUAAGGGGAAGUGUUAGAGCAAUCGAAGCACUGAACUUAAGCCCCAGUAAACGGCGGCCGUAACUAUAACGGUCCUAAGGUAGCGAAAUUCCUUGUCAGGUAAGUUCUGACCCGCACGAAUGGCGUAACGACUUGAGAGCUGUCUCAACAACAUACCCGGCGAAAUUGAAGUACUGGUAAAGAUGCCAGUUACCCGUGAUAAGACGGAAAGACCCCAUGGAGCUUUACUGUAACUUGAUAUUGAAUUUUUGUAUUACAUGUACAGGAUAGGUGGGAGACAGAGAACUAAUGCCGCCAGGUGUUAGGGAGUCGAUGUUGGGAUACCACUCUUGUAAUAUGAAGGUUCUAACCUGCACCCGUGAAUCCGGGUGGGGGACACUGUCAGGUGGACAGUUUGACUGGGGCGGUCGCCUCCUAAAAGGUAACGGAGGCGUUCAAAGGUUGGUUCAGCACGGACGGAAAUCGUGCAACGAGUGCAAACGCAUAAACCAGCCUAACUGCGAGACCGACAAGUCGAGCAGUAACGAAAGUUGGAGUUAGUGAUCCGGCGGUAUGUGAGUGGAAAUGCCGUCGCUCAACGGAUAAAAGCUACCCUGGGGAUAACAGGCUGAUCUCCCCCAAGAGUCCACAUCGACGGGGAGGUUUGGCACCUCGAUGUCGGCUCAUCGCAUCCUGGAGCUGUAGUCGGUUCCAAGGGUUGGGCUGUUCGCCCAUUAAAGCGGUACGCGAGCUGGGUUCAGAACGUCGUGAGACAGUUCGGUCCCUAUCUGU
rnacentral:rRNA from 1 species